rnacentral:rRNA from 1 species
CUGGUUGAUCCUGCCAGACCCGACUGCUAUCGGAUUGGGACUAAGCCAUGCGAGUCAACUCCGCAAGGGGUGGCGCACGGCUCAGUAACACGUAGUCAACCUACCCUGGGGACGGGGAUAACCUCGGGAAACUGAGGCUAAACCCCGAUGGGCCAUGGCUCCUGGAAUGGGCUAUGGCUGAAAUCUACAUGGCCCCAGGAUGGGACUGCGGCCGAUCAGGUUGUUGGUGGGGUAAUGGCCCACCAAGCCUAUAACCGGUGCGGGCUCUGAGAGGAGGAGCCCGGAGAUGGGCACUGAGACAAGGGCCCAGGUCCUAUGGGGCGCAGCAGGCGCGAAACCUCCGCAAUGGGCGAAAGCCCGACGGGGUCAGUCCGAGUGGUUCCCGCUGAGGGAACCUUUUGCCAGCUGUAAACAGGCUGGCGAAUAAGGGGUGGGCAAGUUUGGUGUCAGCCGCCGCGGUAAUACCAGCACCCCGAGUGGUCGGGACGAUUAUUGGGCCUAAAGCAUCCGUAGCCGGCCCAGUAAGUCCUCCGUUAAAUCCAACGGCUCAACCGUUGGGCUGCGGGGGAUACUGCUGGGCUAGGGGACGGGAGAGGCGAGGGGUAUUCCCGGGGUAGGGGUAAAAUCCACUGAUCCCGGGAGGACCACCAGUGGCGAAGGCGCCUCGCUAGAACGUGCCCGACGGUGAGGGAUGAAAGCUGGGGGAGCGAACCGGAUUAGAUACCCGGGUAGUCCCAGCCGUAAACGAUGUAGGCUCGGUGUUGGGCUGCCUCAGUGGCAGCCCAGUGCCGCAGGGAAGCCGUUAAGCCUACCGCCUGGGGAGUACGGCCGCAAGGCUGAAACUUAAAGGAAUUGGCGGGGGAGCACCAC